UGGUGUAAUAGGUAGCACAGAGAAUUCUGGAUUCUCAGGGGUAGGUUCAAUUCCUAU
rnacentral:tRNA from 2 species